CUAAUUAUUGAAUGCAAAUAUAAAUGCAACUCAAAAAUAGGGAUAGUUUUAUCAUUCAAAUACCUGACUAUGUAUUGCUAUACUCAGGGAGUUGACAAAAUACGCACGCUGUAUUCAAACGUGUAUGCGUUUGCUCAUUGUAGAAGAGAGUUUACAUUCUUUAAUACAGAAUAUAACAGAGAGUAUUAAACCUGUCCAAUGCAUUGAGCUUGUCUGGGUCUUUCACAAUGAAAACAAUUCUUUUCGGAACUGAAUAAAAAAAAAAAA